CAGCGGCCUCAGCGGCAACCUGACAGGAAGUUCCUCCCCGGUUUCCUUAACGCCGCCCUCUGUGAUUGGCUGCCGGACCAGCGGCCCCUCAUCGGAUUACCCGGAAGCAAACGGAGCACAGGAAACCCUCCCCUCGUCCGUUAUGGGGGCAGCCAUUUUGUCUUCACCGCCAUUUUAUGGCGGGAGCGGCCAUUUUGUUCAACGUCACGCUGCUCUGUGAUUGGCCGGCGGCCGUUCCUUCACACCCUGCACCCACGUGUUCUGAAGCUGCGUUGCCAUUGGCCGCGCUCUUCCUUUGCGCCGGGAAGCGCUCGGACUUUGAGGUGGAUGCAUUGACAGACGGAGCCUGCAGAGAUCUCUAAAAAUGCAGAAGCUUCCUGGCCUAUCCCAGAAACCCAAUGGUGUAAUUGCCAGGUGAGUCUCUACUCAUGAAGUUGAAUUUAAGUAACUUUACAGCCAAACUGCAAUGGAAAUAUAAUCCCACUGUGUGACUAUUAAGGCAUCUCUAAGAGCACACGCAUGCACCAUGCUGGUCAGUACAGAACGUUCACUCAGACAUCAUUUAAGAUUUCAUUUUUAUUUAUUUUUUUGCCUUCUGGAUCACCAACACCCUCGCUGAAACUUCUUUGGGAUUCCACUCCCACCCCCAUGAAAGUAGCAGACCAUCUCCCAACUCAUUCAAGCAAGUGAACAACAACAACAACAAAAAAAAAUCCCC